UCUAGACCCGAAGCGGUGUGAUCUAUCCAUGGCCAGGAUGAAGCGUCGGUAAGACGUCGUGGAGGUCCGAACCCACUUCAGUUGAAAAUGGAGGGGAUGAGCUGUGGAUAGGGGUGAAAGGCCAAUCAAACACCGUGAUAGCUGGUUCUCCCCGAAAUGCAUUUAGGUGCAGCGUUGCGUGGUUCUUGUCGGAGGUAGAGCACUGGAUGGUCUAGGGGGCCUAUCAGCUUACCGAAAUCAGCUAAACUCCGAAUGCCGGCAAGUGGAGCGUAGCAGUGAGACGGCGGGGGAUAAGCUUCGUCGUCGAGAGGGAAACAGCCCAGAUCAUCAGCUAAGGCCCCUAAGUGGUAACUCAGUGGAAAAGGAUGUGGAGUUGCGUAGACAGCCAGGAGGUUGGCUUGGAAGCAGCCAUCCUUGAAAGAGUGCGUAAUAGCUCACUGGUCAAGUGAUUCCGCGCCGACAAUGUAGCGGGGCUUAAGUUAUCCGCCGAAGCUGUGGCAGAUCCUCUUUGUGGGGGUUUGGGUAGGGGAGCGUCCUGUGCGAGGUGAAGCUGCCGGGUGACCGUGUGGUGGAUUGUGCGGGAGUGAGAAUGCAGGCAUGAGUAGCGAAUGACGGGUGGAAAACCCGUCCGCCGAUUAUCCAAGGGUUCCAGGGUCAAGUUAAUCUGCCCUGGGUGAGUCGGGACCUAAGGCGAGGCCGACAGGCGUAGUCGAUGGACAACCAGUUGAUAUUCUGGUACCGGCUUGUCACCGUCCGUGUCGAGGUGUGUGAUGCUAAGCGUGCGAGCCUGCCAUUGUGAUGUCUUUGAUGUUGUGGUGGUGUGGUGAGUGUGUGAACCGAUCAUGUAGUAGGCAAGCUGCGGAGGGACGCAGGGAGGUAGCUCAUCCCCGGCGAUGGUUGUCCGGGGCUAAAUGUGUGGACCGUCUGGUAGGUAAAUCCGCCAGGGUUGUGGUUGAGGCAUGAUGGCGAGCCCACGGAAAGUGGGUGAGUGAGUGAUCCUGUACUGUCGAGAAAAUCUUCGUGAGCGAGGUGGCUGGUCCGCCCGUACCCUAAACCGACACUGGUGGAUAGGUAGAGUAUACCGAGGCGAUCGAGAUCAUCAUGGUGAAGGAACUCGGCAAAAUGCCCCCGUAACUUCGGGAUAAGGGGGACCUGAACUGUCAAGGCUUUUACAGCUGGUAGCGGUGAGGGGCGCAGAGACCAGGGGGAAACGACUGUUUACCAAAAACACAGGUCCGUGGAACUUAAGCCCCAGUAAACGGCGGUGGUAACUAUAACCAUCCUAAGGUAGCGAAAUUCCUUGUCGGGUAAGUUCCGACCUGCACGAAUGGAGUAACGAUUUCCCUACUGUCUCCACCAUGAACUCGGUGAAAUUGCAUUACGAGUAAAGAUGCUCGUUACGCGCAGCAGGACGGAAAGACCCCGGGACCUUUACUAUAGUUUGGUAUUGGUGAUUGGGACGACUUGUGUAGGAUAGGUGGGAGACUGUGAAGCGGCCACGCCAGUGGUUGUGGAGUCAUUGUUGAAAUACCACUCUGGUCGUGGACAGUGCCUGAUGGGUAGUUUGACUGGGGCGGUCGCCUCCUAAAAGGUAACGGAGGCGCCCAAAGGUUCCCUCAUCCUGGUUGGUAAUCAGGUGUCGAGUGUAAGUGCACAAGGGGGCUUGACUGUGAGACUGACAGGUCGAGCAGGGACGAAAGUCGGGACUAGUGAUCUGACGGUGGCUUGUGGACGCGCCGUCACUCAACGGAUAAAAGGUACCCCGGGGAUAACAGGCUGAUCUUGCCCGAGCGCUCAUAGCGACGGCAUGGUUUGGCACCUCGAUGUCGGCUCGUCGCAUCCUGGGGCUGGAGUCGGUCCCAAGGGUUGGGCUGUUCGCCCAUUAAAGCGGCACGCGAGCUGGGUUCAGAACGUCGUGAGACAGUUCGGUCCCUAUCCGCUGCGCGCG
rnacentral:rRNA from 1 species